rnacentral:rRNA from 1 species
AUUGAACGCUGGCGGAAUGCUUUACACAUGCAAGUCGAACGAUGAAGUCUAGCUUGCUAGACGGAUUAGUGGCGAACGGGUGAGUAAUAUAUCGGAACGUAUCCAUUAAUGGGGGAUAACUAGUCGAAAGAUUGGCUAAUACCGCAUACGUCCUACGGGAGAAAGCUAGGGACCUUCGGGCCUGGCGUUAAUGGAGCGGCCGAUAUCUGAUUAGCUAGUUGAUGAGGUAAAGGCUCACCAAGGCGACGAUCAGUAGCUGGUCUGAGAGGACGACCAGCCACACUGGAACUGAGACACGGUCCAGACUCCUACGGGAGGCAGCAGUGGGGAAUUUUGGACAAUGGGCGCAAGCCUGAUCCAGCCAUUCCGCGUGAGUGAAGAAGGCCUUCGGGUUGUAAAGCUCUUUCGCAAGGGAAGAAAACUUACCCUCUAACAUAGGGUGAGGAUGACGGUACCUUGAUAAGAAGCACCGGCUAACUACGUGCCAGCCGCCGCAGUAAUAC